UGCCCGUGCGGGUGCUUACACAUGCAGUCGAACGGUGAAGCCAAGCUUGCUUGGUGGAUCAGUGGCGAACGGGUGAGUAACACGUGAGCAACCUGCCCUGGACUCUGGGAUAAGCGCUGGAAACGGCGUCUAAUACUGGAUAUGAGACGUGAUCGCAUGGUCGUGUUUGGAAAGAUUUUUCGGUCUGGGAUGGGCUCGCGGCCUAUCAGCUUGUUGGUGAGGUAAUGGCUCACCAAGGCGUCGACGGGUAGCCGGCCUGAGAGGGUGACCGGCCACACUGGGACUGAGACACGGCCCAGACUCCUACGGGAGGCAGCAGUGGGGAAUAUUGCACAAUGGGCGAAAGCCUGAUGCAGCAACGCCGCGUGAGGGAUGACGGCCUUCGGGUUGUAAACCUCUUUUAGCAGGGAAGAAGCGAGAGUGACGGUACCUGCAGAAAAAGCGCCGGCUAACUACGUGCCAGCAGCCGCGGUAAUACGUAGGGCGCAAGCGUUAUCCGGAAUUAUUGGGCGUAAAGAGCUCGUAGGCGGUUUGUCGCGUCUGCUGUGAAAUCCCGAGGCUCAACCUCGGGCCUGCAGUGGGUACGGGCAGACUAGAGUGCGGUAGGGGAGAUUGGAAUUCCUGGUGUAGCGGUGGAAUGCGCAGAUAUCAGGAGGAACACCGAUGGCGAAGGCAGAUCUCUGGGCCGUAACUGACGCUGAGGAGCGAAAGGGUGGGGAGCAAACAGGCUUAGAUACCCUGGUAGUCCACCCCGUAAACGUUGGGAACUAGUUGUGGGGACCAUUCCACGGUUUCCGUGACGCAGCUAACGCAUUAAGUUCCCCGCCUGGGGAGUACGGCCGCAAGGCUAAAACUCAAAGGAAUUGACGGGGACCCGCACAAGCGGCGGAGCAUGCGGAUUAAUUCGAUGCAACGCGAAGAACCUUACCAAGGCUUGACAUACACCAGAACGGGCCAGAAAUGGUCAACUCUUUGGACACUGGUGAACAGGUGGUGCAUG
rnacentral:rRNA from 1 species